rnacentral:ncRNA from 2 species
AUGCAUGUGCGGGGAGAGACUGGUGCACGACGCCAGCGCCGAAGGAGCAACGACCCCGGAAACUCUCAGGCCAACGGACCGCAAUCGCUA